UGUUGGACCUGUUCAAGUCCUGUGUAGAGGUUAUAUAUUGGGCCUGCUGCAUGGUGUUCGCUUAUCCUGCAGGACUAUUCGUUGUAUUCGCAAUGGUCAUUUGAGCAUGUGGCAAACGAUUCAAGUUUCUAUGAAGGCAAUGAAUUGUAACGCUGUUAUCAGUUUCUGCCUGUUUAGAUGAAUGACAGUUAGGAUGUUUAGUUAUAUGGAAGGAGUGGUUAUGUUUUGUUAUGUUAAACGCACACUGUAAGGACCUUCAAUAGCGAAGCACACUUUGUGCUCGAGAUUUGCGAUAAGGUCUUCUCUUUUUAAACAACACACAAAUCAUGGCAUCUUUAGAAAAAUUAUUAAAAUCGUUAGAAUCCCUCAAGUUACUACAGUUGUCCCCAGCGCUGUCAGAAGAAACGUCCAUAAGGAAAAAGGAGAAAAUAAGUCACUGUUUGGCAAUAGCAGAUGCAAUGUGUCACUCUGGAGUGAAAGGAGCACCAAAUGUUUCCUACCUUCUGAGCAUAGCUAUUGAGAUACUGCUUCAGAUGUGUGAUGACUCGCACUCAGAUGUUCGCAUGAUAGCAGAUGAAAGCUUGAACAGGGUCAUCAGAGCAAUGUCAGACAGCAAUGUAGUGAAAAUACAGGUUGAACUGCACAAGGAGAUUAAAAAAAAUGGAAAUCCUCGUCCUUUGAGAGCUGCACUUUGGAGAUUUGCUGAACUCUGCCAUUUAAUUCGACCACAGAAAGGCAAGCCAUAUGUGGUGAAUUUGAUUCCAUGCAUUAUUCACAUUGCUCGUCGUACUGAAGAACCUGUUUUGGAGACAUUAGCAGCUGCUAUGCCAAAGAUAUUUAAGGCACUUGGAAAUUUCACAUCUGACAAUGAUGUGAAGGGUCUUCUGAAAGCAUUCUUGCAGAAUCUGUCCUCGAGCUCUGCAGUGGUCCGACGGACUGCUGCAGCUAGUAUUUUAACCAUAUGCCUAAAUUGUAGAAAGCCACAUGUCUUCUUUUCUUACAUCCUCAACACUUUACUGGACUGUGUUGUUCCAAUACGAGAAGGACAGUCAGUGUCUACAGUAUUGGGAGUUCUUGGGUGUUUGCGUAACAUUUUUCCCCACAUGUCUGUUGGAGAAGGAGGGGAGGAAGAGAUGAGAGGCAGCUUUGGAGUUCGUAGAUGUCAUCAGGAAGCACCAUUGGCAGUUGAUCGGAUGAUUCAGAUAUAUGAACUGUGUCUUCACUACACAAACCAUGGUGAUCAUAAUGUGGUGAAUGCUGCCUUGGAAACGUUGCAUCAACUACUACAGUCACCACCACCUGAUCUUUUACCAGUCUUGCUUUCCUCCCAAGGAGUGACUCGGAGCCGCGUUCAAGCUACGGAGGGGCAGGAGAAACUUACCCAUCGGUCACUCAGUCAGAUGAGUGUAGCACAGUCUUUUGCAUUAGGUGAUGAAAAUUCUUUACUUGAUCCUGAUCCAGAACUGCCUGACCUGAAAUUACCAUCUAUAGAAAAAUGGGUUGGUGAGACAAAGGCAGUUUUGAAUGCUGAUAAAUUAGCAGCAGCAAGAUUAGUGGAGAAGCCAGUGUUUGGAAAGUCAGGAAUAAAUAAUUCAAAUUUUUACGGUGAUGAGACUCAAAGUACAGCUUUGGAUGCUACUGAAGACGAUGAUGAUGAUAAUUGUGAUGGUGAUGGCAGUAGUAUUGUGGAGGAUAACCAGACUGAAUAUUCCAGUAUUCAGAUUGGAACAAUUCAAGACCAGGAAGAUAUAGAUUCUCAGAGCCCUACAAGAAGUACAACUCCAAAACAUCAUCCAAUGGCAAUCAGAACACCUCAGCUUUCAUCUCAGAGUGAUGAUAUCAAAGAUGAAGAAGGAGGUCUCAUGUUGUCACCAUCUCCAGUGGCUUCCCAGGGAAGUUCUGUGCCAUUUCAGGAGUGUGUUGUUGGAUCAUUCACAGAUGCUGCUGUUCCACUUGUGUAUUGUUCUCGACAUUUGGCUGCCUCUUUCCUACUGACAGGAUGUGCUGGCUUCAUAAUGCCUGACAGUUCUGUUAGGGUUAGUGUGAAGGCUCUUGCUCUCAGCUGCAUAGCCAGCAUUGUCCGCCUCUCUCCUAGUAUCAUAUUUCUCAGCAUUGACAAGAAUAAGGAGCCCAGUGGAACACAAGAUGUAUGUGACUCAAAUAGUGUUCAGAUUUUGAGUGAUGUGUUGUUGUUUGCGAGUCAUCCAGACCCACAACUUCGUGGUAUCACUAGCACUGUGAUUGGCUGCUUACUUCAUUCAGCAUUAGUACGGUCUGGUGGCAACUUUCACAAAUGGGUUGAUACUGAGUGCAAGUGGAGUUUUAGAACUAAUGAAAUUUCAGUCCCAGAAUUAAUGAAACUGUUGCUUAAAGGUUUGGAAGAUGAAUCAUCUGUGUGCUGCCGUCAGACUCUGUUAGCUUUGAAUCUCUGCCUGCCAGAACUUCUGGAGAGCAUAGAGAGUCAGUCUGCUGCAGCCAUUCUGAAGGCUUUGCCUCUUUUAGUGAAUAAUUCGUACUGGUUGAUCAAGGUGAAAUUGGUGGAAGUGGUGAGUCAGUUGUCAUAUGUUACCAUCUACCACCUGACAGGCAACUCUGACUUCCAAGAGAAGGUGAUUAGUUCUAUAGUGUUUGUGUUCCUUAAGGAUGAAGAUGUGAGAGUGAGACAUGCUGCAGCUAAAGCAAUUUUAAGAGUUAUUCCAAAGCUAUUCUUCCCUCUGGAUCAGCCACAACAGGAUGCUGCAACUGUCAAAGGAGCUGGGUACAGUGAGCAGUUCCUGUCUGAGAUGUUGGCACCUUCAAGUGAUUCUAGUGGUUCAUCUGCUAUCCUGCAGCGUACAAACAUUAACAAUCUGCCAGCACCAUUCAAUGUUUGCUUCCCUUAUGCAGUUUUUGGAAACCCGCGUCUCUGCUAUCGUCGGAGUAUAGACACAUCUCUGUCUAGAAUUGUGUGCCUCUUGUCCCAGUCUUUACUCAUGUCUGCCAGCAAAUAUCUCACAUUUGGUUGUUGCGAAGCUUUGGCUCUGUUGUCUUCACACUAUCUUACAACAGUUUACCCGAAAGCAUGGAAUUGCUCUCUGAGCAGUAAGACAGGUGGCCAGAAACCUAAUUCCAGAAGAAACACCAGCCAACAGGGACAUGAAGUCUCAUCUGCAGAUGCAGUUGUCAGUCCUGCAGCUGGUCUUUUCUCUACCACAUUGGCUGUCCUGACAGGAUCUCCCAUCUCAUUAGAUCUUAGCUGCCAGCAGUGGCUGAUAGAGUUGGCAGGAAACAUAUUCUCAGGCGUGGCAGUGUGCAGUUUACGCCCCAGUGAUAGCUGCAUUCCUGGAGAAGCUGCUGAACGUCACAAGCAACUCUGGGGAGUACUGAGGGACAAACAGUUGUCUUCAUGUGCUGAGAUGCUUCUGCUGCAUGUUGUGCGCAUACUUAACAUAUUUGUCCACGUCCUGGAAGAGCUGGCACCUACUGUUCCAGCACCAAAACCAUCACUUCCCUCAUUUUCUACUGCUCCAUCUCUCUCUCCUAUUAAACGCAAGGGGAAGGUUGCAGAAGUAACUGUGGGAACAGCAACAGCAGCAGGAACAACCUCAGAAGGUGGUCGCACUAGAGGGUUGUCACCAGUAAAGACUUCUUUAGAUAAGGAAGAGAGGUCUAGCGAGGAUAAGAAAAGUGGCCGAGGGACAUCUUUGGGAUUCUUUGCUGGUAUUUCUCACUACAUGAAGAUACAUGACAUUAUGAAAAGUGCAUAUACCAAUUAUAAGAUAACCCUGGAUUCAGGAGCAAGUGAAAAGUUUGUGAGUUUGCUGCGUGUGACGCUUGAAACAUUAUCACAGUUGCUUGAAGUGGGAACACUUAAUGAGGCAGGACGCAUUGCAGAAGAAAUUCUCUCAUAUCUAAGAUUUACAGUCAGUGUAGAGCCUACAGCUACUGUGAAAUGUGUACAGCAGUUGUUGAAGUGCCUAUUUGGGACCAACCUAUCGGCUCAGUGGGUAAAGCCUGAUGACAAUCAGCGGACCUCAUCAUCUUCAUCAAGCUGCACUUCUGAUCAGAAUAGUGAGGGUUUCUAUGGUGUAUGUUUCCAGACUCCUUACAGACAUUUGACAGACUUUGUUACAUCCCCUAGCAAUAAGGCACAAGACAAGGAUGAAGGAUUCAUGUGGAUGAACUGUUUGCGACGGAAAUCAGAAAGGAAAGGGGCUGCAUACAAAGGUUUCAUUCAUGGAGCUGACAAAACUUCAUUGGCUUCAUACAUUAGAUUGUUUGAGCCAAUGGUUAUCAAGGCUCUCAAGCAAUAUACAGUUACAAGUGAUGUGCAGCUUCAGUGUCGAGUAUUGCUCUUACUGAGCCAGUUGGUGCAGUUGAGAGUCAACUACUGUCUUCUUGAUUCUGAUCAGAUUUUCAUUGGAUUUGUGCUGAAGCAGUUUGAAUUCAUUGAAGAAGGACAAAUUCCGAAUGCUGAAGAGCUGAUACCUCGAAUAUUCUAUUUCUUGGUGCACCUGUCAUAUGACGAACAUCAUUCUAAGAGUAUCAUUGGUGUGCCAAAGGUAAUCCAGUUAUGUGAUGGGUUAAUGGCAAGUGGACAGUCACCAGUCACACACUGUAUUCCUGCACUAGUUCCAGUUGUGGAAGAUGUGUUUUUAAUACGUGGUUCAAGUAGCACUAGCAGCUUUGAUAUGAAAGAACUAGACACUCAGCGGGAAGUUCUGGUAUCCAUGCUGUUGCGGUUGGUCGAGUACCAUCAGGUUUUGGAGCUACUGAGUAUGGUACUUAAUGAGAGCCGUGAGAGUGAAGAACGAUGGCGCCGUUGGUCACGUCAAGUAGUAGACGCACUACUCCCUCUUCUGGCACAGGGUCGAGUGAGGCUGGAGUCUAGGGAAGCUCAGCAUUCUCUGCAGCGUUUGCUUGCGUCUGUUGCUCCCUGUGUCUUGAGGCCUGUUGACUCUCUUCUACGUACCCUCUUCUCAGAAGCUCCACAAAUGCAUAGCACUACAGUAGUAAUGGAGCGAUGGUUGGGUAUGGUCCUUGCAAUCCUACUACUUCUCAUAUCUCUGGGGAAAGAAGAAGUAGUUCUUGCUCGCCUGGAAGAAUUAGAACUAUGUCUGCCACCUCUGGGUUCACUGUACAGGCCAGCUGAAAGACAUGAUCCUUUGAAUGUGGCAGCCACAAUUCCCAAAUGCAAGCAGUUACCACCAGAGCAAGUAAUGGCAAGGUUCCUUAUGCAAGUGUUGGGGCUUGUAAGUAAUCACAUACAUGGUUCUGUAUAUAGUCCCCUGACAAGUGACGAGACUUUGUAUCUACAGGAACAGUUCUCACAUUUCCUGUUGUACUGCAUCUAUAUGUUUGAAUCAGGCAGAUACUGUCGUGUCGCUACAGCUGUAAUGCAGAUGGUACAGCAAGGAAAGGAAAUGGGGAGUGAUCCUAACUCAUGCUUACCAAUCAACGACAUCAACAAUUUAUUUUUGGAAUUGGCUCCAAAGUGCCCUAUGCAUAUGUUCAAGUGGUGCUAUAUCCUUACCCUCGUGAACUUUAGUGACCAGACUUUCUGGGCCCAGAUACUACGCACUCAACCACAUGACCUUAUUCUUGAACAGGGACCUGUUCAAGCAGAGAGCUGUGGGCCAUCUCCUUGCAUAAAUCUAGAGUUGGUGCGGAAAGGUGGCACAAUCCUGUACUGUGACUAUGUAUGUGAAAAUAUGAAUGAUGCUGAGCAGCUCACUUGGUUGCUGGUGAAUCAUAUCGAGGAGGUGGUGAGUUUGUCAACUGAGCCACCAGUACAGGAACUUAUUGCUGCUGUACAUAGAAACCCAGUAGCAAGUGGAUUAUUAGUUCAAGCUGUAGGUGCACGCUGCCAGAAACUCAGACAGCCCAGUUUUGUGUGUCGGGUUUUGCACUGCCUGGAAGGUGUACAUCCUUCUCAGAGUGGCACUCUUCUCAUCUUGCUCAUACCUCGAUUGCUUGGUCAUCCCCAACUUGCGCCUGCACGUCUGGCAGGUACACUGGCAUGUCGCCGAGCAGAAUUACUCCUUACAUUGUCUGCAGACGAAGUUGCAGCUCAGCUCUCUGAAGCCGAUCUGAAGAAAAUUAUGGACAUUUUACACUCCACUUCACUAGCUAGGAAACACAGUGGGUUAUUGAGCCUCCUCAAUAAACUGGGAGCACAGUACUACAAUAUUCCUCCAUUGGAAUUAGAUCCAGGACAAACAUUUGAUCCAUCUGAUAUUCGUUCUGUUACUAUCAACAGGGCUUGGUUUCUAGCACAGGUGACAGCCAGGUGCUGUCACUGUAAUCAGUCUGGAGCUGAAACAGCCCAGCUACUGAGCAAACUGGAGUAUGAGGAAAUUGUGUCCAUUCUCAGCUGCAAAGAGUUUAAUUCCCUCAACCUCAAGGACUGUCUAAAAUUAGGAACACAGCUUACUCUCCAGGCUUAUCAGAACUUACCAGCAUCCCAGGUUGGCUUUAAUGAUGUGGCAAAUUAUGUAGCUGCUGACCAGUCUGUGUCUGUGUUGGAAUCCCCGUUGUAUAGAGCUGCAAGAUUGUCAGUAUUGCAGCAUGUCGCCAAUAUUAGGGCUUUAAUACCAAAACCACAUCAGGUUUACUACCCCCAGGGACGUGAUAUUAACAUGAAGGAAGCCAAGUAUUCAUCUCGCCUUGACCAGCUACUUGGUGAUCCCAUAUUUUGGAGGGCUCUAUUCAGAGUGUCACCUGCCGUUACCUGCUACUUACAAUCACUGCCUGUCCUUACUCUUGGUGGAGUAAGACCAGGUGUACCUCAAGCAUCAUGGGAUGAUGUAGGGAAGUUUGGAAUCCUUUGUCUUGAGGCUGUCUAUUGGCUUCUUCGGGCAGAUGUUUCAGGAGCUGCUAAGCCUAAACCAUGGUACUUACAUAUUGGCCUGUCCUGUGCUGAUGAGGUUCUUCGUGAGCCAAAUUUAGGGGGUGUUAUUGGUCAGGCUAAUCAUGCAUCAUGGAUGGCUUCAGCUGCUGGUGCACUUAGUGCAGUUGUCAAGGUUUUGCUGGAAGGGGAGCAACUCCCCUCCCUUACAGCAUCAGGACUGAAUGCAGCACUGAAUGAUCCUGAAACUGUGUGUGCAGCCCAUGCAUGUCAUCAGAUGGCAGUCUUAGUCCUUUGGCUUGAGAAAACAAGACUGAAAAUAAGCAACAUUCCCAAGUUUCUUGUCAAACCUGUCAAGAGUCUUGUUGUGGGCUUAUCUCGUUUACCUUUAGUAAACUCUUACGUUGUAACGCCACCUGAUGUCUGGCGACAAGGCUGGGCAGCAGAAUUGAGUGGUCCAUGUCAUACUUUUGUACCACCUCUUCCAGUGGAUUACCUUCAAGAUACUGAUGUGCUCCAACAACUUAUAUUCAGGAUAACACUUCUUGGGUGGACAAGUCGUCAGCAGUUUGAAGAGACCUGGAUGGCUUUUCUCAGUGUCCUGAGCUCAAACCCUGUGGAAAACUGUGCACCAGAAGAAGUAGCCAUCAUGGUCCAUGCUAGCAGCUUGGCAGUACAAGCCAUCACAGCUCUGUUGGUGCAGACAUUGAUGUUGCCAAUACCAGGAAACCCUAAUGCUAGUCAGCUGGUACACCAGCCUCGUGAAAAGGCUCUGCCACAAUCCAAAUGCAAUGAGAAGUUACGGGCAAUUCAUGAAUUGUUGGUCUGGAGACUGCAAGAUCAGGAGGUCACUGGACAAUGUCUGGAACUCAAACAUGUCUUGAAUAGAAGCAACAUUGAGCGAAUUCUCAGUCCAGACAGAUAUGGAUACAGCCAGGUGUCAUUAGAAUAUCUGUGGACAGCCACUCGAAUGUUGGAUACUAACAGCAAUCCUGGGGAGGGUGACACACACAAAGUUACAGUGUCAGCUUCUUGCUUGGAGCAUGAACAGUACUUAGCUGCAAGUGGACUUGACCUUCAUUCCUGCCUGCACUUUCUACUUGAUUUAUAUUCACAGUGGACUUUACCACAGUCUGGGACACCACUUCAACUUGUGAGUGAAGCAGUACGGUCCAUAUUGGCUGUAUCAGAUCUGUUUACAGAAAAGGCACAGUUUCAGUGGAUGCUAGCAACCUGCUUGGAGCUUGGAAAGCAUCAUCCUUUUGAAGAUGAAAUAUUACAUCAGUACCUUGUGUUUGGAGCCUGUAAGGCAGCAGCUGUACUGGGGCCGGAUACAGAGGUUUACGAGCGAGUGAGGAAGUUGGUGGAGAACAGUUUGCGAUCUGGUUUCCUCCCAGCACGAAUUGCUGGUCUGCAUGGAGUUCUUUUCUUGCUGCAAGCGACUCCUACAAGAACCCCAGCGCAACAUUUUCAAGCCAGCAGUGGAUCAGUUACUGAGGAGAUCUAUCAUAUGCAGCCACUAGCUAUUGAUUAUAUACAGAAGCAUAUUGACAUAGGCAGUGGUCCAAAUAGCCACAGUGAGGAGCAUCAGCUGGUGAUGUGGGGUUUGAUGUUCUUCUUGCUAGAAAAUAUGGAGGAACAAAUGAUGGACACAGAAGUUGCUCCAGCUGUACUGCAGCUGGCUCUCACUUUAGUCACUGCCCACAGUUUGUCUCCAAGUGUACAUUUAGCGCUCAUCCAGGGUCUUGAGAGACUGGUGGUGACUGGCUCAGUAGGAGGGAAAGUAGCUGAACAGGUGACGAAGCUGUCAGUGGAACGGAUGCGACAUCCCAACCCAACUAUAGCUGUCCCAGCACUGCAGCUGCUUCUGUCCUGUAUGUAUACAGAAAGGUGUGAAGAUCUGAAGCAGAAUGGAGAAAAACUGACUGGCAAGGCACAUGAUCCAGAACUUCUUAUACCAGCCAUGGAGAAAACAUCUGCCAUUUUUGACAGGAUCAAGAAGGGUUAUCCGUUUGAAGUGGAGUUGCUGUGUGGUGUACUAUCAAACCUACUUACAGACUUCUUUCCUCCAUCGGAAAUCAUGACCAAGGUGAUAGGGGAAUUUCUAUCAACGCAACAGCCACAUCCUCGUCUCCUUGCUGCUGUUGUGUUCCAGGUUUUUGAGUGUGCCUGUGAGCAGUCUCAGCUGCCACUUCUACAAGAUUGGGUUGUGCUCAGUGUUGCCAACUUCACACAGUGUUAUCCAGUUGGCAUGGCCUCAUGGUGCCUCACCUGCUUUUUCAUCAGUGCAUCCAUCAAUCCAUGGCUUCGGGCUCUAUUUCCUCACGUGCAGUCUCGUAUAGGUCGCUGUGAGUAUGAAGAUCGUAAACUCCUGUGUCUAGCAGCUGCAGAUUUCUACCGUCAGUAGAUAAAAAUAUUUUGCAGCUGAAAGAUGAGAAACAGAAGCUAACCUUUCAGUCUGCAUUCCAGACCGCAGCAAAUCAACCACUGUUUGCUGACAUUCUUGCUUGUCUAUAAAUUGUCUUACACUGCAACUUGCAUAACUCCAGUGUAUAUAACAUAUACCAUUCCUUCAGUGUAUAAUUAAAUAAAUUAAAAGUAACAUCCUUAUUGUAAGUGUCAGUGUACUGUUGGUGAUGAAUUAAAAGCUACUUUAUUAUUUG